rnacentral:lncRNA from 1 species
UCCCUUCGGCUCCCUUCUCAAACGCAGCUUCAGCGAAAUCUACAGCCUGCCCGACUCCCGGCGUGUGCGGCCUUCCGCCCGCCUUCCAAAACGCAACAGCCCUCGCCUCUCCUCGCCAGCCGCUCACAGCCGAAACUCUGCUUCUUUCUUAAUCAGCCACAAACAUCAGCCACAAACAAUGCCUCGGAAACAACACCUCGGAAACUUCCUCCCAUCUAGUGCGCGGCCACAGCUCCCCUACCGAACGUCGCAGCACCUAUCCUCACCAUCAGCAACGCUUC